ensembl:lncRNA
UGAAAAUUACUGACUUGUGCUCAUCUGGUGUGCUGCGGAAAGUAUUGGCACCCCUCUGCCUCAUCCGUCGUUGUAAAUGGAGCACCAUAGGAGCGCCAGUGUGCAGAUAUUCCUUUUAUAAACAGCCAGCUGAGCGUGAUGAAACAGGUGAAGUCUCUCAGGAGACCGGGAGCGUGACGUGACAGAGAGUGAGAGCUAUAAAGCAGGGGUGGUGAAGGCUGUAACACGGAUGCUCGUCUUCAGCAGGACCGACCUCAGAGCAGCAUGCGCUAAAUUAUAAAGUGAUGAAUAGCGUGUGAGCAUGAGGACCAUGAGGACCAUGAGGACCAUGAGGACCAUGAGGAGCUGCGUGUUACACUUACUGUUCCUGCUGCUGCUCUCCUGCAAAACCAGCUUCAGCAGCUUCACUGUCCAGGACAGUUCAGGACGAGAGAUGAGGCAGUAUAAUGAAGUGGAAGACGACAGUUUCAUUGGUCUGAUGGGUAAAAGGAGUUCCGAUCUGACUGCAGAGCUGCCACGGAGACGAGACGUCAGCGACGUGUUUGUCGGUCUGUUCGGGCGCAGAGAUGUCGACUCGGGUGAGUCGGAUAUCGCUAAAGGCCUCGCUGCGUGGAGACGAGAGAGACGGGGCGGAGUCUUCUCAAACAACCGAAGACUCAGAUAUCGUCGUCCCACCUGAAGCGCCGCCUUAACGACGACGUGGAAUUCGAGAGCGACGGUUCUGAUCUCUCCGCCUGGAGUUUACGUUUUUUAUUUUUCACGUGAAGAUUUAAAUGGAGUUUAUUUUACAUCUGAUUUUUCUUCUGAAGGUUUUUUUUUUUUUUUUUUUUAAAUCUAGUGCAACAUAACUGAAAAAUAUCAGUAUUACGAGGUCAUAAGGUCAAUACAUCAUUUCAUCUCUACAGGUCUAGGUAGGAUCCCUUACAGGCUUGCGGGUUCAAAAAAGUAUUGGCACCCACCCCAUAAAUAAAUAUAAGCCAAAAAAAACAUAACUAUAGAAUAAACGCGAGACACGGUGACUUUUCCACUCAAACGCUUACAUAAUGGGAUUUUUAUAUGGAAAAAAAAAAAAUUUGUUGCAAAAUUAUUGGCACCCCAACCAAAAAAUGUACAGCAAUCAUCAGUCUUUGAAAAAACACAUAGUAGUUGUUAUAUUUAAAUUGGUCUGAGUCCACACUCACUCAUUUCCUGCUAAUAGAGAAGUAUAACAAAAAUUAACUCAGUCAUCCAUCAGCAUGAAGAAAAAAACAAACAAAGCUACAGGUUUCAAUAUAAAUUACAGAGAGUUAUUGGUCUGCACAAUAAACGCGGUAAUAGACAUAAUAAAAAGAAAACGUUAUAAAUAUAGAACAGUUUAAAAUUAGCCACGGAUUGGGUCUAUGAUCCGUCAAGUCCCAGACCCCAAAACAGGGUUGCCUCUGCAAGUAGGUUAAGACUUGACCAUAGAUGGUUCUUUCAACAAGUCGAUGAUCCAAGGAACACUUCAAUCAAAACAGAAAAGGUUGUAGAACACAAUUGUGCGAACUCAGUCUCCGGGUUCAAAUCCUGUGGAAAACCUGUGGCGGGAUUUAAAAAUGACGGUCACCAAGAACAAACCUGAGAGUAUAACUAAACUUAAAGUGGAUGCCUGGAGAGCGUUCCAAGAUCCUCUCCAAUCUUGCUCGACAGCUAUGGUCACCAACGCUUGAAUGGGUGGAGUGCCAAUAGUUUUGCACUCAGCAAACUCUAUUGGGAAAAAUUGGACUCUCUAAGAAGAAAACUUUAUUCUGAUGUUAAAAAUUUUAAAACAAAAAGAUACAGCAUCCACACAUAUGGAUACGGACAAUUUUAAAUGAAGGGUGCCAAUACUUAUUAAGGAAGGGGAGUUAUAAACAAAGUUACUGUUAAACGACUGGUUAAAUACGCGAUCGAUAAACAUUGGGGUUUUUUUCCAUCCUCAAAAUAUAAGAAACUUCUUAGGGAGUGCAAAACUCCCUGUUUGCAGAAGUAUUGGCGACCCACCUGUUAAAAUUCAGUGAAGCCCUAGAACGUGAGAACGGCGCUUCUCUACCUUAUUCAGAUUUUUAUCAUUUUAUAAAUAACUUUUUUUUUUAAAGGGGGGAAAAACUCGACAGUUUACAGUAAAAUAAUCAUUUAUUAAAUAUAUGUGUCUUCAUAUCUGUGAUUCUGUUCAUUUCUGAAUCUAUAAAUAAAGACUCCUGUAAAUAUGCUGCUCAAUUUUCCUUCUCUCUCUCACACACACUUUUAGAUAUGAAAAUAUUAAUAUAUUAACACAGAGCGAAGAAAUCUUAACAUCACUCUUCCCAAAUUUGCUCCCGUAGACAAAACAAUCAGAAAAUCAAAAAUAUUAAAGUUAAUCCAGUUUGAUUUUACACUCGAGACAUUUCAGCUCAGCAUUGUUCUAAAAUCAAACAAACAAUGAUUAUGCUAAUGUUACAGAAAACUCAGAAAUAAACCUAAUAACCUUCAGAAAGACCAAAAAAACAAACAAGAACACUGUGUACUGAUCGUAAUCAUCAUCAGACAUCAGUAACACCAAUUUGGUCUCCAUACCGAUAAAAUGAAACACUUCAGGGUUAAUUGGAGCCAAAGCCCAUGUACUAAUCACUUUUUAACAUCUCCGGCGUGGAUUUUUGUUUAUUUUAAAAGUGCUUUCUCGUGAGAAACUGACGUUAAAAGGUGCACUGCGGUGUUUAUUUCUUUCAAACGAGUGCGCUAAUCUCUCUCCGCUGCGUGCGAAUAUAAAACGGAGGCAGUUUGGAAAAGAGCAGGAAGCACGUCCAUGACAAACUCAGUUAAAACGGAGGACUUGCGGGCAGACGUUAGUUAUUUUCACAGAACAUAAUCAUGAAACGUUCAGGCUGCGUCCACACACACAGCCAUUUUAUCGGCGCGAGUCGCCACUCGCUCUACUAUGAUAUUGCCAGGACGCGUUCCUGCUGAUGGUUGCCAUAGUAACAUUUAUCAGUGGGUGGCAGAACUAGCAUUCCAUUCUUGCCAACAAGAAUUCUUGUGUAUAUACGCAUCAGAUCCGACGAGAUGAAAGAGAAGCAUUGAGGAACGUAAGCCUUCAGGAGACAGUUGAGGUAGGGGGCGCUGUUCCAGACAAGGUCUUUUACAUGAGCAUCAAAGCCUUAAAUUUAAUGCGGGCGGUUACAGGAAGCCAGUGGAGGGAGAUGAAGUUUACUGUAUUACUCCAGUGCUGGGAGGUUAAAGAUUAAAAAUGAAAACAUCCAUAUGAAUGGUUUUCGGAAGAAAACACGUCAUUUAAACGUUUCACCACGUACCAAAAGAUCAGGCUUUGCAAUGAAGAUUAUUAUUAAGAUAUUUUAUAUACAUACAUUUUUA